rnacentral:rRNA from 1 species
GAAAGAGAUCCUGAAACCGUGUGCCUACAAAUAGUCAGAGCCCGUUAAUGGGUGAUGGCGUGCCUUUUGUAGAAUGAACCGGCGAGUUACGAUCCCGUGCAAGGUUAAGCUGAAGAGGCGGAGCCGCAGCGAAAGCGAGUCUGAAUAGGGCGUUUAGUACGUGGUCGUAGACCCGAAACCAGGUGAUCUACCCAUGUCCAGGGUGAAGUUCAGGUAACACUGAAUGGAGGCCCGAACCCACGCACGUUGAAAAGUGCGGGGAUGAGGUGUGGGUAGCGGAGAAAUUCCAAUCGAACCUGGAGAUAGCUGGUUCUCCCCGAAAUAGCUUUAGGGCUAGCCUUAAGUGUAAGAGUCUUGGAGGUAGAGCACUGAUUGAACUAGGGGUCCUCAUCGGAUUACCGAAUUCAGUCAAACUCCGAAUGCCAAUGACUUAUCCUUAGGAGUCAGACUGCGAGUGAUAAGAUCCGUAGUCAAGAGGGAAACAGCCCAGAUCGCCAGCUAAGGUCCCAAAGUGUGUAUUAAGUGGAAAAGGAUGUGGAGUUGCUUAGACAACUAGGAUGUUGGCUUAGAAGCAGCCACCAUUUAAAGAGUGCGUAAUAGCUCACUAGUCGAGUGACUCUGCGCCGAAAAUGUACCGGGGCUAAAUACACCACCGAAGCUGCGAAUUGAUACCAAUGGUAUCAGUGGUAGGGGAGCGUUCUAAGUGCAGUGAAGUCAGACCGGAAGGACUGGUGGAGCGCUUAGAAGUGAGAAUGCCGGUAUGAGUAGCGAAAGACGGGUGAGAAUCCCGUCCACCGAAUGCCUAAGGUUUCCUGAGGAAGGCUCGUCCGCUCAGGGUUAGUCAGGACCUAAGCCGAGGCCGACAGGCGUAGGCGAUGGACAACAGGUUGAUAUUCCUGUACCACCUCUUUAUCGUUUGAGCAAUGGAGGGACGCAGAAGGAUAGAAGAAGCGUGCGAUUGGUUGUGCACGUCCAAGCAGUUAGGCUGAUAAGUAGGCAAAUCCGCUUAUCGUGAAGGCUGAGCUGUGAUGGGGAAGCUCCUUAUGGAGCGAAGUCUUUGAUUCCCCGCUGCCAAGAAAAGCUUCUAGCGAGAUAAAAGGUGCCUGUACCGCAAACCGACACAGGUAGGCGAGGAGAGAAUCCUAAGGUGUGCGAGAGAACUCUGGUUAAGGAACUCGGCAAAAUGACCCCGUAACUUCGGGAGAAGGGGUGCUUUCUUAACGGAAAGCCGCAGUGAAUAGGCCCAAGCGACUGUUUAGCAAAAACACAGCUCUCUGCGAAGCCGUAAGGCGAAGUAUAGGGGGUGACACCUGCCCGGUGCUGGAAGGUUAAGGAGAGGGGUUAGCGUAAGCGAAGCUCUGAACUGAAGCCCCAGUAAACGGCGGCCGUAACUAUAACGGUCCUAAGGUAGCGAAAUUCCUUGUCGGGUAAGUUCCGACCCGCACGAAAGGUGUAACGAUUUGGGCACUGUCUCAACCAGAGACUCGGUGAAAUUAUAGUACCUGUGAAGAUGCAGGUUACCCGCGACAGGACGGAAAGACCCCGUGGAGCUUUACUGUAGCCUGAUAUUGAAUUUUGGUACAGUUUGUACAGGAUAGGCGGGAGCCAUUGAAACCGGAGCGCUAGCUUCGGUGGAGGCGCUGGUGGGAUACCGCCCUGACUGUAUUGAAAUUCUAACCUACGGGUCUUAUCGACCCGGGAGACAGUGUCAGGUGGGCAGUUUGACUGGGGCGGUCGCCUCCUAAAGUGUAACGGAGGCGCCCAAAGGUUCCCUCAGAAUGGUUGGAAAUCAUUCGUAGAGUGCAAAGGCAUAAGGGAGCUUGACUGCGAGACCUACAAGUCGAGCAGGGACGAAAGUCGGGCUUAGUGAUCCGGUGGUUCCGCAUGGAAGGGCCAUCGCUCAACGGAUAAAAGCUACCCCGGGGAUAACAGGCUUAUCUCCCCCAAGAGUCCACAUCGACGGGGAGGUUUGGCACCUCGAUGUCGGCUCAUCGCAUCCUGGGGCUGUAGUCGGUCCCAAGGGUUGGGCUGUUCGCCCAUUAAAGCGGUACGCGAGCUGGGUUCAGAACGUCGUGAGACAGUUCGGUCCCUAUCCGUCGUGGGCGUAGGAAAUUUGAGAGGAGCUGUCCUUAGUACGAGAGGACCGGGAUGGACGCACCGCUGGUGUACCAGUUGUUCUGCCAAGGGCAUAGCUGGGUAGCUAUGUGCGGAAGGGAUAAGUGCUGAAAGCAUCUAAGCAUGAAGCCCCCCUCAAGAUGAGAUUUCCCAUAGCGUAAGCUAGUAAGAUCCCUGAAAGAUGAUCAGGUUGAUAGGUUCGAGG